UUUAGAGGUGACCAUUGGAGC
rnacentral:siRNA from 1 species